CAAAUAUUUGCCCUUCUGGAAACACCCUCUACCUGCCUUUGUCUUGCUCUCUGCCCGAAGAAGCUGGCCUAUGAGGAAAUCUUUGGUGUUCUCCUGUGUCCUAUGGCUUCAAGGUGACGACACCUCCACUUCACCUGGAUAUGGCACUGAAAUUCCAGCAACCACCUUGUGACAAGCGUGAGGAUGAAAACAUCACACCCAGAAGGACAAAGCUAAGACAGUCAUGCCCAGAUACCAGAGGUACUGUGAGUAGUGCUUGGUCCUACCUGUGGAUCUCUUGUUUUAUUAAGUAAUAAACCCUCUUAUCGUUUUAACCAAUUUUUAUCAAAGCUUUGUUUUAUGUGCUGCUGAAAUCUUCCUGACUGAUAAACUACCACGAAAUUCAUCCCAAACCAAGGAAGAGAAUCUUUGCUUUCCCUAUCAAGCAAGAGGCAGUGAAUUCUAUAAACAUUUGCCACUUUUCUACAUGAC
rnacentral:lncRNA from 10 species